GGGUGAGUAACGCGUAGUUCACCUGCCCUGAAGGCUCGGACAACCGCGGGAAGCUGCGGCUAAUACGGGAUACGCCCAUGGGACGUAGGGGUUCUGUGGGGAAAGGUCUUUCUUCUGUGAGGGAGGGGGGCUGCUUUGGGAGGGGGCUGCGGCCCAUCAGCUGGAUGGCGGGGUAAGGGCCUGCCAUGGCGAUGACGGGUAGGGGGCCUGAGAGGGUGGUCCUCCACACUGGGACUGAGACACGGCCCAGACUCCUGCGGGAGGCAGCAGUGAGGGAUAUUGCGCAAUGGACGGAAGUCUGACGCAGCGACGCCGCGUGGGUGAGGAAGGUUUUCGGAUUGUAAAGCCCUUUUCUGCGUGACGAGGGAGACGGUAGCGCAGGAAUAAGUGUCGGCCAACUACAUGCCAGCAGCCGCGGUAAUACGUAGGACACGAACGUUAUCCGGAGUAACUGGGCGUAAAGGGCGCGCAGGCGGCCAUUUAAGACAGCUGUGAAAGGCAGGGGCUCAACCCUUGGUGGUCAGCUGUGACUGGGUGGCUGGGGUAUGCGAGAGGGGUGUGGAAUUCCGCGCGUAGUGGUGAAAUGCGCAGAUAUGCGGAGGAAGGCCGGAGGCGAAGGCGGCACCCUGGCGCAUGACUGACGCUGAGGCGCGAAAGCGUGGGUAGCGAACGGGAUUAGAAACCCCGGUAGUCCAUGCUGUAAACGAUGUGCACUGGACGUUCGGGCUGCCAAGGGCAGUCUGGGUGUUUAAGCGAACGCGGAAGUGCACCGCCUGGGGAGUACGGUCGCAAGGCUAAAACUCAAAGGAAUUGACGGGGGCCCGCACAAGCAGCGGAGCGUGUGGUUUAAUUCGAGGCUACGCGAAGAACCUUACCCGGGUGACAUCGCGGUGUUAGCGUCCUGAAAGGGGCGUGACCUACGGGAGCCGUGACAGGUGCUGCAUGGCUGUCGUCAGCUCGUGCCGUGAGGUGUUCGGUUAAGUCCGAAAACGAGCGCAACCCUCGGUGCCAGUUACAAGUGUCUGGCGCGACUGCCCCCGACAAGGGGGAGGAAGGUGGGGAUGACGUCAAGUCAGCAUGGCCUUGAUACCCGGGGCUACACACACGCUACAAUGGGCGGCACAACGGGAGGCGAAGGCGCGAGUCGGAGCGGAUCC
rnacentral:rRNA from 1 species